rnacentral:rRNA from 1 species
CCUACGGGGAGCAGCAGUGAGGAAUAUUGGUCAAUGGACGUAAGACUGAACCAGCCAAGUAGCGUGCAGGAUGACUGCCCUAUGGGUUGUAAACUGCUUUUAUAAAGGAAUAAAACGAGGCACGUGUGCCUUUUUGCAUGUACUUUAUGAAUAAGGAUCGGCUAACUCCGUGCCAGCAGCCGCGGUAAUACGGAGGGUCCGCGCGUUAUCCGGAUUUAUUGGGUUUAAAGGGAGCGUAGACGGGUUGUUAAGUUAGUUGUGAAAGUCUGUGGCUCAACCGUAGAAUUGCGAUGGAUACUGGCAGGCUUGAGUACACGGGAGGUAAGCGGAAUUCGUGGUGUAGCGGUGAAAUGCUUAGAUAUCACGAAGAACCCCGAUUGCGAAGGCAGCAUACUAAAGUGUGACUGACGUUGAAGCUCGAAGGUGUGGGUAUCAAACAGGAUUAGAUACCCGUGUAGUC